UCUAAAGGGAUACUGUUCUACUACAGAACCAACCAGGUGACAGAAUACUAUUAAUUUUCACAUUCUUCUUAGAAGACGUGGUGAUAAAUAUGAAACCUCACCAAUUUGGCGCAACAUGUUUUAUACUAUUGAAUCCAUUAAUGUUUUUUCCCCAGAGGGGCAGCACAAACUUCUAAUAUGAGACUAAAGAGCUCUCGUUUCUGGUGUAAAUGUCCCUUCCCAAGCCCCAGAACAGAGAAACCCAGAAGUCGUACAGCUUUUGCUUUCUUCUGCAGAUCAACUAUUUGUGAGAGCAGGUGUGUGAUCUCCUCUUGCUGGCGGGCAGCAUCUUCAGUCUUCUUGGCCAAUUCCUCGGAGAUAGUGGCAAUCUGGACAUUGGCAUCCCCUGUGCCCAAGCAAUGAAAAUGACAAGGAAAAGUCAGAAAACUACAUGUGCAGAUCCAGAGAGAAUGGUUUCUUUGUGACGAACAGAUCUGACAUCAGCAGAACCUCUGCUGCACCCUGUUCCAGAAAGGAGCCACUGCCCGCACACAACAUAAUUCCCUUGGGCGUUUGCAACCCUAUUCAGAGGCGUAACUCAUUUUACUAGAAUUGAGCAUGGGGUGAUAGUCUCCGUCUUCAGCUGGCAGGCCUGUGAACAGGGCUCGGGUCAGGCGCCCCCAUCCAUACCUGGACUGCCAUGGGGAAGGGCUAGCCCAGGUCCGGGAAGCCACCCGGCAGCAUCUCCCUGCCUGUCACCCGCUGCAUCCUCAAAUGCGGAAGGUCUACCCGAAUUCUUGGUUAGUUGAUGGAACUUGGAUUCUGGAAUCUGAAGGGCUGAAACGUGUACCACUAGAGGGCGCCACACAAAGCAAUGUGCACAAGAGCCAAACCACUGCUUGGUUAAACUCGUCAGUGUAACAAUGAUAAAUGUCUGUUUGUCUAUGCGUGUGUUCCAGCCCAUGGAUAUGGCCUCCUUUGUGACCCUAACAGUGCCCACCCACCACAGGUAUUCUAAGCAUAACCACAACAAGCAUGGCGAACAUUUAUCAUGCCCAUAUUAUGAACCGGGUUCCUGGUUGGAGCUGAAUCUGUCAUAUUCAGCUUCAUAAGAACAAGGUACAGUGUGAAAGCAUGAGAAUUCAGAGAUCCAGGGGCUACCUCAGGGCUCCGGAUUGCUUGCAUGGGGCAGAUAAGGUGGAAAGAUGGAGAUCUGAAGGCUCAAAGAAGAUGCCCAGUGAGAGAGAAGGUGUCCCGUAGCCGGCAUCAGAUUCCUUGGCUUGCUGCAACUGAAGCUCCUGAGAGGGACGAUCGCUGUGUGCCCUGAACUGGAGCAUUUACCUGAGGCAGGUGGACACGCUGGGCUGUAUGUAGUCUGGGUUCAGCCACCAGACUGGCAUAAAAACUCGGCAAACCUCUAGGUCGCAAUGGGUUUAUGUUUCUUAUCAUUAAACGAAGGGCUGGUAAAGGUGAGGUCUAUGGGAACAUGACCCUUCCUGAACACGGAAAAGGAUCUUGCUAAGCAAGUCCAGAUGGAGGAUCCUUUCAAAAGGCAGGUACAGGUGACAUGCUCUGCCCUCCUAGUGGAGCUUCUGGAGCCCUAGGACCUACGUGGGAGACCUAUCCAGCAAGGGCCUGACAAACAGGAGCAUCGCACCUCCACCGAGGGAGCUUUUAUAAACUCACAGAGAAUUUAAGACAAACAGGACUAAGAGCACAUGGACUCAGGGGCAGUGGGUGAAGGAAAAAGAGACUUGCAAAUCCUGGCUUUGUCACCUACUAACUAGCAGAACCAAAACAGCUAUCAACCUGGGUCCUGGGUUUCUCACCAUAAAUGAGAACCAAAGUGAUGAGCUUUCAGCCUUGUUGUGUGAAUAUUAAAAAAAAAAAAAAAAAAAAAAACUACUAUAAGCAAUGUGUCUGGCAGAAUGCCUA